AUGAUGUUUUAUUAUUAUCUUUUCUGGGAUCUUGUUCUGGAUGAAUCUCACAACAAACACUUUUUUUUCUGCCACAGCUGCCUUCGCGCCUUGUUAAAACCGAGGACCACAUUUGCUGAUGUCCAGACUUUUCAGACCUUUUCUCUCUUUCUUUCCCUAGAAGACCCACCCGGCUUCUUGCAGGUAAAACCAUCACUUUCAAGAACAGAGGAAUGCCAGCGGGAUGGGCGUGUGGCCGUUAUGAUGUCACCCAUCUUCGGAGACAAGACCUUGCCGAGCCGUCGCCCCCUGCUGGCCAUUAUGACAACCCGCGAUGACACCCCAGACCAGUCUCGGGUGAAAGCCUGAAACCCACCAAGGAAAGGAGAUGUGUGAAAAUCAAUAUAGGAUGUGUGAAGGUACAAGUUAUGUGGAUACCAAAUAUAUGAGCACCACAACUUCUUUGAACAUGAAGGAAACUCCCCGAGACCUUACCCUGGGAUAUUGCAAAUUCAGCUUGGCCUGGAUCUGCCCAGCUUUCAUCUCACUAACAUUGUCACAAGUGCUUUCCUGUCUAGAUUCUCACAGCACACUGGACAGAGCUCUUUGACGGCUAUCUACACACAAAAGGACUUCACUAGCAGGCCUGAUUCCUGUCCUACAAAUGGCUUGGUCAGCAUUCUGAGAACUUAUGUUUAGGGAAGAUUCAUGUUAUCUAACACUUUGGUUUAUACUGAACCCCUGUUUUCUUCUAGAAGUCUAGCAUUUUGGUAGGUGCUGGGCAGAGGAUGGCUAUGUGCCCAUCCUCCUACAAAAACUCCUGGAUACAGAGUCUCUAAUGAGCUUUCUUGGUAGAGAACAUUUCACACGUACUGUCACAGAUUGUCACUGUGUGACUCCAUUGGGACAGGACUCCUGAAAACCUAGUUUCCUCCAGAUUCUGCUUCAUGGGCUUUUUUCUUUCUUUUCUUUUCUUUUUUAGUUUUAUUUUUUUUGUCUUUUGUCUCAUAAGGGCUACACCCGCAGCAUAGGGAGGUUUCCAGGCUAGGGGUCUUACUGGAGCUGGAGCUGCCGGCCUACACCACAGCUACAGCAACUUGGGAUCUGAGCUAUGUCUGAGACCUACACCACAGCUCACCGCAACGCAGGAUCCUUAACCCACUGAGCAAGGCCAGGGAUCGAACCUGAAAGCUCCUGGUUCCUAGUUGGGUUCGUUUCUGCUGCGCCACGAUGGGAACUCCUUCCUGGGCCCUUUUCCUUCACUGAUUUGGCUUUGUAUCUUUUAGCUGUGAUAAUGAUAACCAGAAGUAUCUCCAUGUGCUGAUCCUGUGACAUCUCCUAGGCAACCGUCAACCCUAGGGAUGGCCUCAGGGACCCCAAACCAGUAACCUUGAGAAGCUGCCUUUUCUCUGAAUCAUUUCAGAGAUGAGUUCAUUUCACAGACAGUUCUGGUAGGACCGGUUCUAUAUUAUAUACCAAUUUUCAGGCCUGCAUAGAUUAAAUGAGUGGGGUAGUUAAGCGACCCAGGAUAGAAAAAUACUGUUGCCUUUUUAUCCAAGGGUUGUCAUGAACAUAGAUGUUACAGAAAAGUGGUUUUCAAACUAAUUUUUUUUUUUUGUCUCUUUAGGGCCACACAUCUGCGGAAUUUCCUAGGCUCAGGGUCCAGUUGGAGCUGUAGCUGCCGGCCUACACCACAGCCACUGCAACGCAAGAUCUGAGCCACAUCUGCAACCCACACCACAGCUCAUGGCAAUACUGGAUCUUUAACCUAAUGAGCAAGGCCAGGGAUCGAACCCGCAUCCUCAUGGAUACUAGUCGGGUUCGUUACUGCUGACCCACAACAGGGACUCUGAACUAAUUUUUUUUUUUCUCAUGGCCACGCCCGGGGUGUAUGAAGUCCCUGAGCCAGGGACUAAAUCUGAGCUGCAGCUGUGACUUAUGCCACAGCUGCAGCAAUGCUGGAUCCUUAACCCACUGCACUGGGCCAGGAAUCGAACCUGCGCCUCAGCAGCAACCUGGGACACUGCAGUCGGAUUCUUAACCCACUGUGCCACAGCAGGACUCCGGGAACCAAUCCCUUUUAACCAUCUAUUAUGAACACACUACUUAUUAUUUCAAUGAAUUUUUAGAAAACCGCUAGAGAACUUUCUCUCCAUUUUACAGACCAGGAAGCCAAGUCUUACCUUAUUGCAGAGUUGGGAUUGGCAUCUGCCCGGGACUUUUUCUGCUGUGGCACAUUUGCCUCCAUAGGUGUCAAUCUGUUAGGUUGUCUACUAUUUGGCCCAAUAGCCCAGCUCACUAAACUCCUGUGCUGCGCUCUUUUCUCCCGGGGCUGCUGAAGUCCUUUUAUCUGAAUGAAGAGUGAGUGCAAAGCCCUACUUUGAAAAUACAGGCAGAUUAGCAGGGAGCCAUGUGGUCGUUCUGCUCAGAGAGGCACUGUUGAAAUCUGCAUGAGCAUGUAGCCAAAAAUACCCUCAGUGGUCCAGCAGUCCUUGCUAAACUGAGCACACAGGAAAUGCUCUUUAAUUAACACUGGCCGCAACUAUCUGAAAGAUAUUGUGCUGUUUGUGACUGUUCCCUGGCUGGCCUGAUGUUCCUGAUAGCUGCCUGUCAGCCCGAGUUCCCUAAUUGUCUCCAGCUUUCUGUGUUUAUUCAAGUUGUGCUUCAGUGAAUCCGGAAAGCAUUUCCUCUUCCUUCCCAGCUUGUGACGCUCCCACUUCAGCUUGUCAUACAACAGCUGUCACGUUGUGCGUGUGAGCAGUCCGGCAGAAUGACAUCCCUCUGUAUCCUGACUUGGCCCCGGGACUGUGGGAGGACAUCCCUCCCCACGGAGGCCGGGGAUUGAAGAACCAAGGACGUUCGCGCCUGACUGUAAACGCGCAAAAUGCAUCGGCGAGGUGUGGUCCCAGCAGAUGAUACAGAUGUGAACUGCGGAGAUUCCUGCAUCCUUGGUUUUACCCAUCCCCUCCCCUGAGGCUUAAAGACAGCAGGGAGCUGGGGCAUGCUUCUCAACACUGGCUACAAAGUGUGGUGAGAAUAAGGGGAGUCAGCUCCAGGUAAAAGGCGGGGCACUAGGAGAUCAGCCCGCAUAGCGUGAGGAAUGGGGUUAUAGGCAAUAGAAGAAAGUUCACCCUCAGUGGCAAAAGAGGUGAAAUAAUGCAACAUGGAUGGACCUAGAGCUUAUAUUCCAAAGAAUAUACCUACAUCAGACGAAGACAAGUAUCACAUGAUCUCACUCAUAUGUGGAAUCUAAAAAAAUGAUACAAAUGAAGUUAUAUAUGAAACAGAGACUCACUGACUGAGAAAACAAAAGUAUGGUUACCAAAGGGGAAAGGGUGGGGGCAGGAUAAAUUAGGAGAUUGGGGUGAGCAGACACACACUAUAAACAAAUUAGAUAACUAACAAAGCCUGAUUCUACAGCACAGAACUGCAUUCACUAUCUGGUGGUAGCAUCCCCACCUCUUUCCAAUAAUGGAAAAGAAUCGGCAGUUACGUAUAUCACAACCGAAUCACUUUGCUGUACACCUGAAAUGUAAAUCCACUAUAGUUCAAUUACAAAAUCACAGGAAAAAACACAUUCACUAAAUUUAAAAAAGACUUGAAGCAACAAAGUGGAUUCAGUUUGGGUUCAGACUGUGCUCAGGGAGGUCUGGAAAUAUUGCUAAAAGGAUUACAAAUUUAGUUACUACGUUACAGUUUAAACCUUACCCUUUAAGAAGUAUGCAUCAUCAGUUCCUAUUUACAAAUGAGGGUGUAAGAAAUGUGUCCAUUUUAAUGUCAUUAGUGCAUCUUAGGGCCAGGAUGCCAUGAAUCCGGCUUGAAGUGAAAGCCAGUUCCCGUCAACCACGCUGCCCUGGGAUCAAAACCAAGGCAGGAGAAUCAAGCAGGCAUGCCAAAUCUGAACUCCUCAUCUUCUUCCAGAAAGGAGCCCUCCUUUGUUCCUUCCCUGUCUUGGUUAACGGCGUCAUGAUUCAGGAGGUCGCCAAGUCUGAAACCCCAGACCUAUCUUGAGGUUUCAGGAAACCCCGGCUUCUCCCUCAGUCUUCAAAACUCAGCUCUCAGGUCUCCUCCCGUGCGGGUCUCCCGGCACCUCUUCCAGGGCCAGCUCUGCUCAAGGCCUGCCCCUCCCUUCGCCUCGCCCACGGCAGCUGGGCAUCUCCAGGGUGAGGGACUGCAUUCCCCAGAUCUUUAGAUGCCAGUGCACCCUCAGUGCCUGUCGCAUAGUUGGUCCUUUUAAUGAAUAAUACAGAGGAUAAGUGACAGUCAGAAUAUCAAGGAAAAUAUGUUUCUUUUUAUCUGUAACUUCUUUCCCUUUAGUACUGACUGGUAAGAGAAUUUUUCACCCAGGAAAAGUUUAAUACCAUAGCAGGCAUUGUCUUGGAUGGAAGUUUUAUAAGAUGUGCAAGCGGGAGAGUUCCCUGGUGGCCUAGUAGUUAAGGAUGUGGCCUUGUCACUGCUGUGGCUCGGGUUUGAUCCCUGGCUAGGGGAUUUCCACAUGCUGUGGAAAAACCCCAAAACAAACAUAGGAGAUGUGUUCAUUUGACUAAUGGACAAUAUGUUUAUGGUUUUAAUAAUCACUAAUUAAGCUCUUCGAACACCAGAUGUUAGAGAACAUGGCUUCUCCAAAUUACUUCAUCAAACAUUCAGUGUAGAAGCUACUUUAGGCUUUUCAACAGGAUAAGAUUCAUACCGAAAGUCCUUUUGAUGUGGCAUUCAUCUGUCUUUCUAUUUAUCCCUCUCUCUUUCCAUCUACCUAAUAUAGAUGUUGCAUAAAUGUCAUCCUGUCUCCUUUCCCUUUAAUUGCAUGUGGUUUAGCAGAAGUCAACCGGCAAGUCUGGGGCUAUGUGGCCUGAUGCGCUCCGCCUGUCUGAUCACCGUGCCACACUCGAGUCCCAUGUAACUGUUGUCAUUUGUUUCGCAAGCCUGGGAGAUACACAUGGUCAUAUCUCUAGCAUUUUUCCAAACAGACAUUUGAGAAGACCGUUUUUCUUAUUCUUAGGAAGUCCAGGAUCGCUCUUUUAAUGCUUCCUCUGCCCUUCUCAAUUGUCCAACAACCUUGAGGGUUUAAUUAACUUGGGGAGGAAGGCUGCGAUUUACCCUGCUUCCAAAUGCCGGCUGCAGAGAAAACUGGACAAGUGCUUCAGUCCGUAGCUGCCAUUGCUUUUGAUCACUGCAGCCAGCGACAGAUGGCUGGGGACUGGCUCUCUGUUGGUCCAAGGACUCACUGAAGCGCUCAGCUUAGAAUUCUAGGCGAAGGUUCCUUUCAGCCCACACCCAGAGCACAGCCGCUGGGCUGAGCUACAGCGCGCUUUCCAGCUUCCAUGAUCCCCAGGUUGGAACAGAUCCUCCCACACUCCUACGACCUUGCGUCAAAUGCGGGUCAUCAGGACUGACUUCUCUUGAACCAUGUGGAGCCUCUAAGGAUCUUUGCUGCCAGUGAGCCUGGGCAGAGCCUACCUGGCCCCUGGUUUCUCUAACUUACACUCGUUGGUAACCAGGAGUUCAGCCUUCCUCCCUCCUUGCUCCCAAGUCCUUGGGCUCGAUAUGCACAUAAAUCCUACCUUUUCCUCAGAAAUUGAUCCUGCUUUUCAGGAUAUUUUGAGAAGGCGCUCGCCUUGUUCCCGUCUUCUUCCAGAGAAAUACUGGGUUUUUCACUGAGGUCAACUGCGGUGCUAGAAGGAAAAAAACUUAUUUUACAGGUUAUAAAAGUUGUUUUAGUUAUGUAUAGAAAUAGAUCUUUAAAAAUCAUUCUCUCUCUCUUAUUAUCUGUCAACUCUUACCAAUCACCUGAGAUGCCUCCUUAGUGCAGGAGGUAGUGUGUCAGUCUCACAUCACCAAUUACGGGUCUGUAUCAUCUACUCUUACAAGGACUUCCUUCUCCAUGACUCAAGGGGGAAAAAUCACUAGAUGCGUCUGUUAACACUGCUGCUCUUUGGCACAGAUUUUAUCCCUAGCAUCACUGGCCACGGAAGUCAUGGUACCAAGGCCUGAGGAUAGAUUGAACCAUGCACUUCGAAUUUCUAGAGAAGCCUAUGGAACUGACUAAACGACAGGUCUACUGUUGAUGCGUUGAGCAUCCAUGAGAAGAACGUGUUUGAUAAGCAAGAGCUGUACUUUUCUUCAGCUGGUUACAAUGUGUCCCAGCGCUGUGAUGACUGUAACAUUUGACUGUAUUCUUCUUGGCCUGAAAAUUCAGAACUAAGUGGACAGGACUCUGUGGUACACAUUUAUUUGUUCUAAUGCUCCCUUUAAUUUAUCAAAAAUUGUUUACCUAUGUGGAGUUCCGGUCAUGGCUCAGCGGUAACGAACCUAACUAGUAUCCGUGUUCCAUCCCUGGCCACGCUCAGUGGGUUAAAGGAUCCGGCGUUGCCAUGAGCUCUGGCGCAGGCUGGCAGCUGUAGCUCCGAUGAGACCCCUAGCCUGAGAACAUCCAUAUGCCAUGGGUGCGGCCUUAAAAAGACAAAAAAAAAAAAAGUUUACCUAUAAUUACAAACUAGCUCUGCUUUCUUUAUUCUAUUGAGUGACUCUAUCUCCACAAUGUAUUUUUAAACCUUUAAACAUAUUGGAUAGAGAUUAUGUUCAAAAAUUCAGAGUGGAUUUAUAGUUUCUUCUCAUGCAAGGGCAAUUGUUAGUUGUAUCUGGAUCAGAUGCUUUCCACAAAAAUAAUCAGUGCGAUUUACAUCCUAUGCCAAUUCUUAGUAGCAGUGUGAUAAUAUACCUUAAUGGACAAAAUCCCAUUGACAAGAUAAUAAACCUUAUUUACAUUUC
rnacentral:lncRNA from 1 species